rnacentral:lncRNA from 1 species
AUAUAUCAUAUAUUAUUAUUUUUAAAGUAAUUUAGAUAAAUUAGGUAAUUACAUCAAUUUAAAUUAAUUACUUAUUUGUUACCUUUAUUACAUUCCCUAACUCUACUAUAAAUUAACAUUCAAUACAUUAACAUUCUUCAACUUUUCCACAUACUUUUUUUUUUUCUAUUUUUGGAGAUAUGGAGGGAAUUCUUGAAAAUGAAUUGCAUUGGUAUCACCUACAUGCAAUGGUAUGUUAAUUAUAGUCUCUUUUUUAGUAUAACAAUGAAUUAUUGCUUUAUUUUGUGUUUGAUUUCUUCAUUCAAUUCUAUAUGCCUUUAAUGAUUGCUUUUGUUGAAGCUUCUCGGUUGACAUGAUUGUCUACUAUCAAUAUUCGAUACGAGGAGGAAAAUCAUUUUCAAGUUGCGGUAUCUUCUCGACAAAAACAUGGAAAACUGUAUUUGUUGUUGACUAAGGGUUGGACAGAGUUUUGUUACGCACAUAACAUGGUUUGCGGCAACACGUAUUCUUUUUUUUAACCAAUGAGAUGAUGUACUUAAGGUGUGCCACGGCCCAGCCUUUCCAACAAUAUGUGAUAUGUCUUCGCCCUCCUUAAAGUUUUAUUAUUAAUAAUAUGAGUUG